rnacentral:rRNA from 1 species
AUACGGGGGAUCCGAGCGUUAUCCGGAUUUAUUGGGUUUAAAGGGUGCGCAGGCGGCCAUUUAAGUCAGCGGUUAAAUCGUGGGGCUCAACCCCAUUCUGCCGUUGAUACUGGGUGGCUUGAUUGCGGUCGAGGUUGGCGGAAUUCGUUGUGUAGCGGUGAAAUGCAUAGAUAUGACGAAGAACACCGAUUGCGUAGGCAGCUGACCAGACCGCAAAUGACGCUCAUGCACGAAAGUGCGGGGAUCGAACAGGAUUAGAUACCCUGGUAGUCCGCACAGUAAACGAUGAAUACUUGUUUUCGGCGAUAUAAUGUCGGAGGCAAAGCGAAAGCGAUAAGUAUUCCACCUGGGGAGUACGCCGGCAACGGUGAAACUUAAAGGAAUUGACGGGG